UCUGAAGGCCUGGUGUACACCUCUUUGGAGACAACACUUCUAAUACCCUUUUCUUCCUGGCUAGUGCUCAUCUCAGUAUGACCCUGGGCAGAAUUACAGGAAGGGAAAAGCAUGAGAAGAGCUGGAAGGAGAAGUGUGCGGUGUCACAAGAAAGGGACAGUAAUUGCUUCUACAGGACACUCCUUAGAGCCUGGAAAAGUGUGGAGGUUUAAAAAAUGCACCUUUCAACAGGAGCAAGUUCAGAGACAACUGAAAAUCAGUCAUUGUGAAAGUGAAGUGUAGCAGCUGUUUAACAGGCUAGAAUGCUGCAGAGAUUUUUAAAAGUAGUCAUAAGGGGUAAAGUUAAUUAAUGAUUAAGUUCAUAUGAUCCCUUCUCUUGCCCCAGGAUGGGAUUCCUUCUGAUGUAUCUUUAUUUAACCUGUUCAUGAAAAACUAUUAUAAAAACCUUCAAUAUGAGAUCUUGGAACCUCUGAAAGUAGGACUGCUCCAAUGAAUUACCUGUUUUCAAGUUAAAAGUGUUCCCUAUUGUGUUUUGCCUUACUCCUUUUAUUACAGUUUGCUUCCUCUUUCCUCUGGAGUAGUUGUGGGGUCUUUUCCUCUUUUGCAGGUAUUUGAAAACUAUUGCCAUCUCUCCACAGUGUUCAUUUGUCCAUACAAAGGAGCAGGAGAAAUUAAGAAAAAAUUAGAAUGGAAAUGCACCAGAGCAUCUGGACUUUACCCUGAGAGGAUGGUCUCAGUCAGUAAUACAGGUUGACAGGAUUUGGGGCUUAUCAGAAAAUCAAGGUUCUCUGUAGUACAGUGCCUCUUGCCAUUUCCAAUCCUGCUGAUAUCAGUCAUGCCCUGAGGUAAUGGAAACAGAAGGAUCUAGCCAGUUGCUAUCCUGUGACAAAGUGUGCGGUAAGGCAGAGGCUUUUAAACUGAAAUUGCUGUGGCACGGUAUCGAGGACAGCAGCAGUGCCUCUUAAUGAGGAUUUUAUUCCCCUUUGCCAUACCAUUCAUAAUGCAGCAGUCUGGUUAAGCAGCACUGAUAAGAGGGGUGGUUUGGCCCAUGUAUAAUACUAAUCCUCAUAAAAAUGACUCUGAAGUAAUUGAUAAUUAAAUCCCUGAACUGUUGU